UACGGGGGGGGCAAGCGUUGUUCGGAAUUACUGGGCGUAAAGGGCUCGUAGGCGGCCAACUAAGUCGGAUGUGAAAUCCCCAGGCUCAACCUUGGAACUGCAUCCGAUACUGGAUGGCUUGAAUUCGGGAGAGGGAUGCAGAAUUCCAGGUGUAGCGGUGAAAUGCGUAGAUAUCUGGAGGAAUACCGGUGGCGAAGGCGGCAUCCUGGACCGACAUUGACGCUGAGGAGCGAAAGCUAGGGGAGCAAACGGG
rnacentral:rRNA from 1 species